rnacentral:rRNA from 1 species
AUUGAACGCUGGCGGCAUGCUUUACACAUGCAAGUCGAACGGUAACAGGCCUUCGGGUGCUGACGAGUGGCGAACGGGUGAGUAAUGCAUCGGAACGUGCCCAGAGGUGGGGGAUAACGCAGCGAAAGCUGUGCUAAUACCGCAUGUGAUCUGAGGAUGAAAGCGGGGGACCAGGCAGCAAUGUUUGGCCUCGCGCCUUUGGAGCGGCCGAUGUCAGAUUAGGUAGUUGGUGGGGUAAAGGCCUACCAAGCCGACGAUCUGUAGCUGGUCUGAGAGGACGACCAGCCACACUGGGACUGAGACACGGCCCAGACUCCUACGGGAGGCAGCAGUGGGGAAUUUUGGACAAUGGGCGCAAGCCUGGUCCAGCAAUGCCGCGUGCGGGAAGAAGGCCUUCGGGUUGUAAACCGCUUUUGUACGGAACGAAAAGGCUCUGGCUAAUACCUGGGGCUGAUGACGGUACCGUAAGAAUAAGCACCGGCUAACUACGUG